CACACACUGCCGCCAAAAACUACUUGUUGCCAGAGACUUCAGCUUCAGGUCUUCAGCUGGAGGGUUAGGAUUCAACAUUUUGUACCUAUAACAUGACAUAUCAAAAUGCCAAGGGACCUUGCACAUGAAACAGAAAAAACGGCGACAUUUUAUACAUCUCUUGCGUCCUGGUUCAGAACCAGUAAGAUUUUUGGAGUACUCUAAAACCUCAGUUUUUGACAUUAAUGCAGAGCAUCUAGGAUAAGGACAAUAAAUUUUAUCGGUAACGGGAAUUGAAGCUUCCAAUUUUCGUUGCUGCAUGGUCUCAAUUAGUUUAUGAGGCAAGAAUUUCCGGCAACUGUCAGCUAGAAGUUCAUUAUUACACCCCUCAUGAGGGCAUUUUGGUACCAUUCCAUGGAGUAGCUUCACUUCCACAUGUCGUUUCAUGCAAGAAAAGCAAUACCGGUGCUGACAUCCAUCAACAGAAAAAAAUUGAUUGAUAUCAGAAUCCUCCAAACAAAUGACACAAGUUUGAUUCAGACUCUUUGUACUACUGCCAGAUUCUGCAUGCCUUGUGGACUGAGAAACAAUUGCAUCUCUUGCCAGCUUAGAUGCAUACUUGAGAUCAUCUCUGGACACAAGCCUUGGAUUGCAGUAUGUAAAUUCUCUUUGAAGUAGAUGCACUUCAUUAACUAGCAUAGCAACCUUCUGGUGUUUCACAGGCCAUUUUCCACUUACCUGACCAGCAAAACAAGAUAUUAAAAACCUCCAUAAAAGUAUGACAUUGUCACAUCCUCAUCCAUUCCCAUCAUCUUAAUGUCAUGCAUCAAAACAUUAUUUAAGCCACAUGGUGGACACACACACAUAAACCUAUAGAUAGAGAGAAUUUUGGCUGGAGAGGAUCCAACUUGCACAUAAUCCUCGUUCAGUUGAAAAAUUGAGUUUAUUGUUAAGGUUUUUGUGUUUGGAAGAAGAUUGUUCUGUGAGUGUGCUGAUAAUUUAUAAUCCAUAAUUCAAACAGGUAACUAUCACCAAUAUACCGGACAAUUACUUCAAUUAAAUCCUAACUAUCCAUUAUGAUUGCACAACUAAGAUUGACUAACUACUACUAUCACUAAGAGGAGUCUGAUACACUAUAUAUAAAUGUAGGAUAAGGCUUAAUUAACAUGAGUUGGUUCUAAAAUGAGCAAGUAAAAGAUCCAACAAUGAUUUAAUUUAUCUUAACCCACAAAAAUGUAAAGGAUUGGUCAUUUUAGAGGUAAGCAUGCUUUUGACAAGCUUUUUCCUUUCACUGGGAUGAACAUACGGUUUUAACAACUUUUUCAGCACUCCUAUAUGUAGUACUGAGUACAAACCACUGAGUGCUCCAUCUCUUUAUAUUUUCAGGAAAAACACUAAUUAUACACUUAGCAAUAUUAUAAAGGGUGCAGUAAUAUCAUUAUAAGGGAUUUAGCUCAUCUAAAGUGAGAAAAUCACUUCAGAUGGUAAAGUAAGUUGUCAUAAACUAUGAUUGGGAUCAUAUACUUGUACUUGUAUACCAAACUAUGGUGUUAUGUAAAUCUCAACCAUUCAGACUGUUUGGAUAUCUGUUGGCAUCAGUGGAACUGCAAACAAACGUUAACCCUAACUUCGAGAUAAAGAAGUGAAUGAAACACUCAUUUUAGAUGAGGCAAACCCUAUAUAAGGGUGUGUGCUUCCUCAACAAGCAAUAAAACAAUGAGAGAGAGAGAGAAGGGACUCACAAAUUGUAAGAGAGUGCAGUAAUCACAAAAGUAGACGAUACGCUUCAGCUCCAAAGAGUGGGCAGCAUCUAAGGCUUCUAUCAGAGCCUUAGCCUCUGCAAUGACCCUACUGGUUUCAAUUCCAAGGAGGAGGGGCUUGGAUACCUUCAGCAACAAAUUAUCAUCCUCAUCGCAAACCGCAACACCAAUCCCACCAAACACCACCUUCUGACCCUUCACAAUCUCCUCACUCACCAAACCCUUAAAAUAAACCCUAAAAACCGAACCAUCAUCCCUAGAGCCAGAGCCGGAGCCGGAGCCGGAGGUGGAGCAACCCUCGCCCGACGCCACCUUCUCGAAACUCUUCAAUUCAACGCAGGGCUCUUCCGGCCGCACAACGACCGAGGGCAAUAAUAGGUCCAUGCCUUCAUACUCAAUUUUGUACCAAUGAUCCUGCAAACAGAAAUUCUCUACCAAUGGGAGACUAAGGUCUAUCUCUACACAAACCCUAGCAACACAAACCCUACCCGAAAAUCGACCAUUAGUUAUCCUAAGAGUAUUAGGGUCUACUUUAACAGGACAACCGGCACAAGAAGCCAGAGUAAAAAGAACACUCUCAUCAUGGAAAACGAAACUUAAACCCGGAAAACGAAUCCAAAUUAGGGUUCUAUCAACCGCAUUCUCCGACGAUACAAACUCAGGACUCCAUAACCUUACAGUCAAAAGCUGAUUGAAAAUAAACCAUGGCCCAUUUCCAAUAACCUUAUCUCGAUCAUCAUCUUCAUCGAAUGUGAUCGCGUAGAAUCCAUACCCAACAUCAAUCAUCUCAAAACCAGCCCGGAUUUUCCAAGUUUCUUUGAGUUUAUCCUUCAUCAAGAAAUAACCAAUCUCCUUCUCCUUCCCCUUCUUCUUCCCUAGUAAUUUGACAAUCAGGGUUUUUCUCCAGGGUGCGCAUAGCUUCUCGUAGAACUCAUCGCUGAUGAUGAUUUUGGGUAAGAGUCUGUUACCGUUUUCGUACUCGAUUGUGACGAGAUUCUCCUUGAGAAGAUCAAUAUGCGAAUUCGAAUCAGUGGUGGUUGAUUUCCCUUUCGUUGUGGCCAUGAGCUUCUCCUUGAAGGAAGCUUCUCCUUCCAUUGCCAAGGUCCAGUGACUGCUGGAGCGGGAAGGGAACACACAGUGACACAGUUGAACCCUUCUUCUCUUAUAUUGCUUCUGUCCCUAAUUAUAAAAUUGCUUAGGCUUAAAUACUCUUCCGACCCCUAAAAUUGUAAAGGGAAUCAAACCUGAUCCUUGUAAAAUUUUCGCAUCAAAUUGGAUCCCUAAAUUUUGUUUUUUAAUCUAAUUAGGUCCAAAGUGUGUCUGAGUCUGAUGUGUCUUAUUUUUUACCCAAUCAGCUUUUCUACGUGGCUUUUUUUUAUUUUUCCAUGUCAUAUAAUUAAUUAGUAUUCCUUUUUUUUAUUCCACUCAUACAAACAAAAAAUAUGCUUCUAAAAAAACAAAAAAUCUAACCUAAUCUAAAUUAUCUAGUCUAAUUUAAAUGUGCCAUCCCCACCGUCUGCAAUGGCAAUGACAACUUCAUAGUCUUUUGGGAUUUUGUCAAGCUUCAUAGUCGUUUGUGGCAGAUCCAAACGCCUUUCGUCUCUUCCUCCCCAGUCCCCAACAUUCCUAAUUUAAGGUUUCUCUAGGCUCACUCAUCCAAUUUCUUCUCUUAUAUUGAUCACUGUAACCUGAUUUUGUUCAAUGACAUAUCCAACACCUUUCCGUGCCGUCUCUUCCUCCCCAUCAAACCCAGAUCCGCAGAGGGAAGGCUAACCACCGCCACAAGCACCAGAUCUGUCUUUCUUCUUCUUUUUCCAUCGAGCAGAUUUGGGCUUCAUCUCUUUCUGGGUUCAUCUCUCGUCUUGGUGCUUGAAAUUUUUGGGUUUGGUGCUUGCGAUUUCUCGGUUGGUCUAAUGAAGUAGGGGAACAUGGUGAUGAUGUUGAAAGUGAUUGUGAGAGUGAGAAAGACAUGGAUGAACAACUCAAAAAACCCAAAUUAUCUCUCAAUAACCCCCAAAUUGAACAGGGACCAGGUUGAAAGUGGUGUGAUAUUGAAAGAGAUGGAUGAACGUGGUGUGAUAUUGAAAGUGAUUGUGAUACUGAAAUUGAUAUUGGUUUGUUGUUGAGAAGAAUCGUGAAUCUGAGCUUGGGUAAUCUAAGGUUUAAAUUGGGGCUAAGAUGAUUAAUUAAGGAUUAAUAUUGAUUUACAAUUAAUUAGAACAAGUGGCAUUAAUCAGUAUUUAAAAAAUAAAAGAAAAAGCCACGUGGAAAAGCUGAUUGAGAUUAAAAACAAGCCACGUCAGAACCAGACACCCUUUGGACUCAAUUAGAUUAAAAAAAAACUUUAGGGACUCAAUUCGAUGCAAAAAUUUUACAGGGAUCAGAUUUGAUUCCCUUUACAAUUUCAGGGGUCAAAAGAGUAUUUAAGCCAAUUGCUUAUUAUAAAAACUUCUAUCAGAAGUUUAAUUAAUUUAUUGAUUUUAAAAUAGCUUAUACAAUCUUUCACAUUUAGCAUAAAUUAAUUAAUUAUUGACUUGUGAAGUUUCAGGAAGUAGCUAAUUGGGAAGAAUUUUUUUAGAGUUAAAUAGGUUUUUACUCUCAAGAAAUUUUAAGAAUUGGGAAUUCGUCUUUAUAAAAUUUUGAAAUUUUAUAAUUCAAUUGUUAAAAGAAACAUAUAUUCUAGUUAUCAAUGUUAUUUAAAUAUGUGAAGUUAGUCUUUGUCAUUAGGGUUUAGUAGUUAAGUUAUGAGUUGACAACCUUUUCUAAUCAUGGCAAAGUGCAACUUGGCCUUUCCACCAAAACUACCUUAUGUUGAUAAUUACUUUUGAAAUUGCAAUUUUAGGUGAAUAUUUUUUUGUUUGCAUUAUUUAAAAAAAUUAAACCCUAACGUGGACUUCAUUGUUUGUCAGGUAAGAAAAGAGAAUAGAGAAAGGGAAAUUACUAGACUCUUUAUUUGACUGUUGAAGUAGGAGUGAAAAUGAGAGAAAAGAAUGUACUCCCUCCGUCUUUAAUUAUUAGCUAACAUUGAGAUCUAUGUGGUGGUGUCACUAAAUAUAAACUACGAUACAAAAACUAAUAUUUUUUCAUAUUUGUCCCUGCAUUUAUUGGUUUUUUAAUUCCAAAAUUUUGAAAUUGAAACUCACUCUUAUUAUCUUUCCUCCUAAAACUACCCACUUAAAUAUGGUAAAUAUGAAAGAUUGUACCAUUUUUUAAAAAACCAAUGCAAUGAAUUUUUAAGUUGUUUAGAUUGAGGAAAAAGAGCAUUUUACGAUUUCUUUUUUUUCUUUUGAAAAGAGCAACUGAAAUACGAAUUAUGACGAGGGAACAUGGGAUAAUAUGGUCCUUUUAACAAAAUCAUGUUUUCUAUUCAUGUUUCCUCGCUCGAAUUAGGGGUGAACAUGGACCGGGUCAAUCCAAUAAAUCCAUCCAACCCAAUCUGAUCCAAUGGUAAAAAUGCGGGUUGGAUUGGGCCAACGAGUUCACCGGAUGAAUUUUAUUACGAUCCAAUCAUCUUUGGAUCGGAUAUCGGAUUCCAUAAUAAUCAAUCCAACCCAACCCGAAAUCCAAUCAUGUAAUAAUAAUAUAUUAUUUAAUAUAUUUUUUUAAUAAUUUUAAUUUUUCCCUAACUUACUAAUAGGGUAUGUAAUUUAUGGAGACUUGGAUCCUAUUAUUUGAGUGAUUUUUAGGAGACUUGAAAACUAAUUUAUUUGUAAUUACUUGUCAUAUUUAAAAACUUGAAGUACUUCUUUAGUUAUGUGUUGUUGUAUAGAUGUGUGUAGACGGUAGUUAUUAACUUAUGAUGUAAUCCCAUGUUAGAGACUUCAAAUGCUUGUUUUUUAAUAUUUUUCAAUAUUUCAGAUUUAUUUUUAUUUUAAUAUAGCGAUCUAAUCAAUCAAUCAAAACCAACCCGAAGAUUGUCGGAUUGGGUUGGUUCGGAUUCGUUGGUGAAAAUUCACAAAAUCCAACCCAACCCAACCCAACCCAAACAGUUAUGAUCGGUUCGGGUCCUGAUUAGUCUGAAAAUCCAUCCAACCCAACUCAGCCCAGCCCUAGCUCGGAUGAGGGGAAAACUCAAUUAUUGAGUCCCACUAAAAUUAAUCCCCCCCCCCCCAACAUUUUCCUUGCUAACCAAACAUAAGAGAUUUGUUAACCCAAAAAAAUAAACCAAUGGCCAAAUCAGGGCGGGAAAGAAAACAAAAAACAAUCACAUUUUGCUUAUCAAUAUGUGAAUAUUUACUAGUAGUAAAUCCAGAUUCCAGACAGUAGUAGCAUCAAAAAACAGAUUCCAGACAGUAGGUGAAUCAGAUCAGGUGGUCAGUUACUUAAUAAAAGUCAUCAUCAUCUUCUUCAUCUUCCUCCUCCCUCUCAUGUCCCUCUAACCAAAUAUUCCUCGGCCCAAAGUGGACAAGAACAUGUUGCUUUUUUGUCCUUCCACCCAGCUCCGCACUGAUAGCAAAAUUCAUAACCGCAUCUGUAAUCACAAGGAAAGCAAGUAAUUAGAGUUAUGAUAUGUUGACACUCCCUUUUCUCUCCCAGCUCAUUUUAACUUAUUUUAUCUUCUUGUGUCUCUUCUUUUGCUAUCACAUCACCUAUCAUAUCUCUCAAUUCUCUCUCUUCUCUGCCUUUCUCUCUCACCAAGUGGAGGUGGAGAGGUGUCAAAAUAACAUUUUUGAUAAAAGAUUGUUGAGACUCAACACUAAUGACCUGUAUCUCUAUUCAUGGAUCUCUCAAUACCAAACAGAAUAAUAAAAAUUAAGUCACCCCCAGAAUAAUAAUAAGACAUAUCUUCACGUCUAAUAAGCCUAUGUUAAGAACACGAUUUUACACAAACAAAAAAAGUUUGGUUGUUUCAACUUGCUCCUAAAAGCAAGUUUAACUAAAAAAUAGAAAAUUAACUUCUGCAUUUGUUGGGUUAGAUGUUGAGUUUAACUGCAAACUUGUAUUUGAGAUAAAUAUUUCCAAACAGAAAGCAAUUUACUUUAACCCACUUUUAAUAAAGAUCAAUUUCAUAUAGUAAAGUUUGCAAGCACACACCCAAACAUACACUAAAUCUUUCUACCUUAACUUCCAUUGGGCUCAUAUUGCACAUAUACAUUUCAAAAGAAGAUUUUUCUGAACAUUGUCAUAGUGAAUGUUAAUUCUACAAGUAUGGACAUCUUUAAAGACUAUAUGCACGUGUGUCUGUAUAUCCCCCAUGACUAUCUCUAUUUUACCAUCCAACCUUUCCUCCUAAUGUUAUAUGACUCAGUGCCUAAGAACUUUUUAACAAUUAUGUCUACGGAGAAUCAUGAAUGCUUACUGAGUUUUUUUGCUAGUGAAAAAUUGAAAGAGAUUAUAGAAGGAUGAUGAUAAAUUGUUAAAACAAAGCAAGUGUUAUUACUAGCGUACCUGCAAGUCAUGUGAUAGCAACCUUCAGCAAGUUCAAUCAUAUGGUUACACUUCACACACUGCCGCCAAAGACUCCUUGUUGCCAGAGACUUCAGCUUCAGGUCUUCAGCUGGAGGGUUAGGAUUCAACUUUUUAUAAGCAUGACAUGUCAUACCAUUAUGCCAAGGGACCUUGCAGAUGAAACAGAAAAAACCACGACAUUUUAUACAUUGCUUUUGAGCACCAAUAACAUUUUUGGAGUACUCUAAAACCUCAGUUUUUGACAUUAAUGCAGAGCAUCUUGGAUAAGGACAGUAGAUUUUCUCAGUAACGGGAAUUGAAGCUUCUACUUUUCGUUGCUGCAUGGUCUCAAUCAGUUUAUGAGGCAAGAAUUUCCGGCAGCUUUCAGCUAGAAGCUCAUUUUUGCACCCCUCAUGAGGGCAUUUUGGCACCAUUCCCUGGAGCAGCUUCACCUCCACAUGUU
rnacentral:lncRNA from 1 species